CUAAACUAUGUGCUAAAUCAUUAUGUAUCUUUUAUUUUACAGAUUCAAGUCUGUGAGGGAAAGCACUGCUGUAUGCACCAGAAAACUGAGAACACUGUGAGAAAUGACUCUUCUGCAGACAAUUCAAUAACAAAAAUGAAGUAGAUUUGGAACACUGCUUUCAAUGAAAGGCCAAACUCUGACUGGAUUUGGUGCAUCAGGUGGUAUUAAGAGCUACCAGGAGCAUCAUGUACCUUUCACACAGCAAAAACUGUAAUCCUGGAGCAGAUGGCUUUGAACCUGAACUUCGAAUUUCAGGGUCAGGGGAAGGCCUGGAUACCUUCAGUGGUUGCCAACCAGCUUCUGGGUUGUUUGGAUUUCAUAACUUCUACCCAGGAAACUCAACUGAAGCCUGCACAGCUCUCCCUGCUAACUGACAACGAAAAACUCUGCCUUCCUCUUUGUGUCAGCUCUGACGUUCCUGAGCUGCUGCGACUCACCCAAGAAAAGCCUUUUCUGCUGGAGCACUCACACAAAACUACUGCUUAUCCUCUGCAAAGGCAUAGAAAGAAGGAGCAACAAGAGCCUGUGGAGGGAUUGGACCUAAAUAAAGGUUAAAAUCAAGCAGACGUGUUGAAGAUACUGGAACAAGUAGUGAGAAAAAAUAGCAGAGUACGUGUAGUUGUGCAAGUAAAUAAAGAAAUUCUUUGUUAUUUUUGGCA
rnacentral:lncRNA from 1 species